GGGGGAACCGGCGCGCAGAAGGCGCAGCCCUUGCGACGGAGGAGUCUAAACUUGGCUCAGCUUCUGCGUACGCCUUCCUCAGACAGACGGGGAGAUAUAACUGCAUCUGCACUGAGUGGCUCAGGGCUUGAGGUUGCAUCUGGUCACCGCUCCCUGCCCUGAGCACGCUGCUCCCAUGGUGGGGAGAUGCUGACUCCAGUUUCCAGCCAGCUUUUCUCCCAGGGAAGCUCACGAACAAGUGCUGUGCCGGGCUUCAGACUGUUCCUCUUCCAACUUCCUCCGAUGUUCAUUUCUGCCAUCAUGGGCUCCUUUUUCACCCCACAGCUUUGAAAAGGUGAGAACAAUUUGUGAGGCAUGGCACUAUGCCCAAAACACUCAUCACUGCCAGAACUAGUUAAGAACUCUGUAUUUGAUAUCCUCCCACUUGGUGCUAGCGGGGCCAUUCUUACAAGGGUCACUGUCCAGCUGCUGUGUCUCUUAAGAAACCAUCAUUUUGUGUCCAUGUGAUGGCUGUCUUGAACAGAAAUCGUUCAAGACCUUUUUCUUUUUAUACUGUCCCAUUGUAUGGAUUGACUUUAGAAUCAGUCUUUCCAUCAACAACUCUGUAGAUAUUAUUCACAGCCUAGUGAUCUUUGCUAGAAGAGUUCGGCUAUCUGUUGGGAUAGACAUAGCCACAGAGAAAUUGGUACAGAGGUUUGAUGACCUAUGUUAAUCAGGAAAGACAUCACUGCAGCAAUUGUAU